GGCUCAGGAUGAACGCUAGCUACAGGCUUAACACAUGCAAGUCGAGGGGCAUCAGGAAGAAAGCUUGCUUUCUUUGCUGGCGACCGGCGCACGGGUGAGUAACACGUAUCCAACCUGCCCUUUACUCGGGGAUAGCCUUUCGAAAGUAAGAUUAAUACCCGAUAGCAUAAUGAUUCCGCAUGGUUUCAUUAUUAAAGGAUUCCGGUAAAGGAUGGGGAUGCGUUCCAUUAGGUUGUUGGUGAGGUAACGGCCCACCAAGCCUUCGAUGGAUAGGGGUUCUGAGAGGAAGGUCCCCCACAUUGGAACUGAGACACGGUCCAAACUCCUACGGGAGGCAGCAGUGAGGAAUAUUGGUCAAUGGGCGCUAGCCUGAACCAGCCAAGUAGCGUGAAGGAUGAAGGCUCUAUGGGUCGUAAACUUCUUUUAUAUAAGAAUAAAGUGCAGUAUGUAUACUGUUUUGUAUGUAUUAUAUGAAUAAGGAUCGGCUAACUCCGUGCCAGCAGCCGCGGUAAUACGGAGGAUCCGAGCGUUAUCCGGAUUUAUUGGGUUUAAAGGGAGCGUAGGUGGACUGGUAAGUCAGUUGUGAAAGUUUGCGGCUCAACCGUAAAAUUGCAGUUGAUACUGUCAGUCUUGAGUACAGUAGAGGUGGGCGGAAUUCGUGGUGUAGCGGUGAAAUGCUUAGAUAUCACGAAGAACUCCGAUUGCGAAGGCAGCUCACUGGACUGCAACUGACACUGAUGCUCGAAAGUGUGGGUAUCAAACGGGAUUAGAUACCCUGGUAGUCCACACAGUAAACGAUGAAUACUCGCUGUUUGCGAUAUACAGUAAGCGGCCAAGCGAAAGCAUUAAGUAUUCCACCUGGGGAGUACGCCGGCAACGGUGAAACUCAAAGGAAUUGACGGGGGCCCGCACAAGCGGAGGAACAUGUGGUUUAAUUCGAUGAUACGCGAGGAACCUUACCCGGGCUUAAAUUGCAGUGGAAUGAUGUGGAAACAUGUCAGUGAGCAAUCACCGCUGUGAAGGUGCUGCAUGGUUGUCGUCAGCUCGUGCCGUGAGGUGUCGGCUUAAGUGCCAUAACGAGCGCAACCCUUAUCUUCAGUUACUAACAGGUUAUGCUGAGGACUCUGGAGAGACUGCCGUCGUAAGAUGUGAGGAAGGUGGGGAUGACGUCAAAUCAGCACGGCCCUUACGUCCGGGGCUACACACGUGUUACAAUGGGGGGUACAGAAGGCAGCUACCUGGUGACAGGGUGCUAAUCCCAAAAGCCUCUCUCAGUUCGGAUCGAAGUCUGCAACCCGACUUCGUGAAGCUGGAUUCGCUAGUAAUCGCGCAUCAGCCACGGCGCGGUGAAUACGUUCCCGGGCCUUGUACACACCGCCCGUCAAGCCAUGGGAGCCGGGGGUACCUGAAGUACGUAACCGCAAGGAUCGUCCUAGGGUA
rnacentral:rRNA from 1 species